ACUACACCUAGCCCAAACUCUCACAUUAAUAUAACAAUCAAAAUAAUAUAAAAUAAAACAUUUACCCCCAUUAAAGUAUAGGAGAUAGAAAUUUUAAUAUGGCGCUAUAGAGAAAGUACCGCAAGGGAACGAUGAAAGAAAAAGACAAAGUACAAAAAAGCAAAGAUUACCCCUUGUACCUUUUGCAUAAUGAAUUAACUAGUAAAAAUUUAGCAAAACGAAUUUCAGCUAAAUAUCCCGAAACCAGACGAGCUACUUAUGAACAGUUUUCCAAGAACCAACUCAUCUAUGUGGCAAAAUAGUGAGAAGAUUUACAAGUAGAGGUGAAACGCCUAACGAGCCUGGUGAUAGCUGGUUGUCCAGAAAAUGAAUCUCAGUUCAGCUUUAAAAAUACCAAAAAUACAAACAAAUUCACUGUAUUCUUAAAAGUUAGUCUAAAAAGGUACAGCCUUUUAGAUAUGGAUACAACCUAGACCAGAGAGUAAAACUUAACAAAACCAUAGUAGGCCUAAAAGCAGCCACCAAUUAAGAAAGCGUUAAAGCUCAACAGUAAAAUAUUACUUAAUUCCAGUAACAAAUAAUUAACUCCUGGGUUAACUACUGGACUAUUCUAUUAUUUAAUAGAAGCAAUAAUGUUAAUAUGAGUAACAAGAAAUAUUUUCUCCUUGCAUAAGUUUAAGUCAGUAUCUGAUAAUACCCUGACUAUUAACAGUAAAUAAAAAUAACCUAAAAAUAAACAAUUUAUUAAUUAUACUGUUAAUCCAACACAGGCAUGCACUCAGGAAAGAUUAAAAGAAGUAAAAGGAAUUCGGCAAACACAAACCUCGCCUGUUUACCAAAAACAUCACCUUCAGCAUUUCUAGUAUUGGAGGCACUGCCUGCCCAGUGACAAAUGUUAAACGGCCGCGGUAUUCUGACCGUGCAAAGGUAGCAUAAUCAUUUGUUCUUUAAAUAAGGACUUGUAUGAAUGGCCACACGAGGGUUUCACUGUCUCUUACUUCCAAUCAGUGAAAUUGACUUUCCCGUGAAGAGGCGGGAAUAGACAAAUAAGACGAGAAGACCCUAUGGAGCUUUAACUAACUAAUUCAAAGAAAAUAAACUUAACCACUAAGGGCUAAUAUUACUCUUCAUGAAUUAGCAGUUUUGGUUGGGGUGACCUCGGAGAAUAAAAAAUCCUCCGAGCGACUUUAAAGAUAAGACACACAAGUCAAGUCAAACCGUCGCUUAUUGAUCCAAAAAAUUUGAUCAACGGAACAAGUUACCCUAGGGAUAACAGCGCAAUCCUAUUCAAGAGUUCAUAUCGACAAUAGGGUUUACGACCUCGAUGUUGGAUCAGGACACCCCGAUGGUGCAACCGCUAUCAAAGGUUCGUUUGUUCAACGAUUAAAGUCCUACGUGAUCUGAGUUCAGACCGGAGUAAUCCAGGUCGGUUUCUAUCUAUUAUGUAUUUCUCCCAGUACGAAAGGACAAGAGAAAUUAGGCCAACUUCAAUAAAGCGCCUUAAACUAAUUUAUGAUAUCAUCUUAAUUAAUUUACAAACAUAAUCUGCCCUAGAAAAGGGCUCA
rnacentral:rRNA from 1 species